rnacentral:rRNA from 1 species
UACGGAGGGGGGCGAGCGUUGUUCGGAAUUAUUGGGAGCGUAAAGGGUGCGUAGGCGGUUUGGUAAGUCUGAUGUGAAAUCUAUGGGCUCAACUCAUAGUCUGCAUCGGAAACUGCCGGGCUUGAGUGUGGGAGAGGUGAGUGGAAUUCCUGGUGUAGCGGUGAAAUGCGUAGAUAUCAGGAGGAACACCUGUGGCGAAAGCGGCUCACUGGACCAUAACUGACGCUGAUGCACGAAAGCUAGGGGAGCAAACAGG